CGAAGGAGGGCAGGAAAAGCUAGCCUCUGAGGCUAGACACAAUUUCGGCGGCCCCAGGGAAUUGAGGAGUCCGACUGAGCCCGACUGAGCCCGACAGGGGCUCCCAGGUGGCCUUGACCUUGGUGCCCCGGACUCAGUCUGCCCACUUGCUGGCUCAGACCGACGACCCUAAACCCUCAUCUAGGGCAGCUGGACACAGCUAGGAUCAUCUAGAAAGAGGGAACCUCAACUGAGAAAAUCCCUCCAGUAGCUUGGCCUGUCCAUCGCGGCCCAGAGGUCGAGGUAGGCAAGCUUUCAAGUCGUACCCUGUUUGAGUAGCGUGAUGGAAUCUCAAGCCUGCUCACAGUGUUCGCCCAGGGCGCGCCACCCCUUUGUUUGCUGUGUCCACUCUGGAUGAGCUACCCACUCGUCAGUCACUUCAUUUUGACCAUCAGAUUAGUUGCCAUGGCAUCACAGUGCUCAAGCGACCUCACUUUGGAGCUGCAUCUAUGUCUUUUGCCUCAUCACGUGGCUCUCAUGUCACCACAAGAAGAGCGCUGAGCAUGCUAUAAGGUAUCUUGAGAAAGACCAUGUUCACACAAUUUUACAGCAGCUUACUACUGUAGAUGUUUUACCUUAUAAUUGCUGUGAUUAAUAUUUUA